GAAGUCAGGACCUCUGGAAGAGC
rnacentral:piRNA from 1 species